rnacentral:rRNA from 1 species
GAGCCGAAGCGAAAGCGAGUCUUAAUAGGGCGACAGUACGAUGAUGUAGACCCGAAACCGGGUGAUCUAGCCAUGACCAGGUUGAAGUUCAGGUGAAACUGAAUGGAGGACCGAACCGACCCCCGUUGAAAAGUUGGCGGAUGAGUUGUGGCUAGGGGAGAAAUUCCAAUCGAACACGGAUAUAGCUGGUUCUCCCCGAAAUAGCUUUAGGGCUAGCGUCGAGGUAGAGUCGCAUGGAGGUAGAGCACUGAAUGUACGAUGGCCCCAUCCCGGGGUACUGAGUAUAAUCAAACUCCGAAUGCCAUGAUGACGUACUCGGCAGUCAGACUGUGGGUGAUAAGGUCCAUGGUCAAAAGGGAAACAGCCCAGACCGCCAGUUAAGGUCCCAAAAUGUAUGCUAAGUGGAAAAGGAUGUGGGGAUGCACAGACAACUAGGAGGUUGGCUCAGAAGCAGCCAUCCUUCAAAGAGUGCGUAACAGCUCACUAGUCGAGUGACCCUGCGCCGAAAAUGUACCGGGGCUAAGCAUACUACCGAAGCUGCGGAUUUGCAGAGAUGCAAGUGGUAGGGGAGCGUUGCAUGCACGUAGAAGCCGUACCGUAAGGAGCGGUGGAGAGCAUGGAAGAGAGAAUGCCGGUGUGAGUAGCGAGAUGUAGGUGAGAAUCCUACACACCGAUAGCCCAAGGAUUCCAGGGGAAGGUUCGUCCGCCCUGGGUAAGUCGGGACCUAAGGCGAGGCCGAAAGGCGUAGUCGAUGGAAAACAGGCAGAUAUUCCUGUACCCGCGAUGGAAAUGAAGGAAUGACGGAGAAGGCUAGUGUGAGCCACUUAACGGAUUGUGGUCGAAGCAUAUAGCAGGCUGACAGUGAAAUGCGUCAGCGGGAUGUAAGAUGUGACAGGUAAGGGAACGCCUCCGGGCAAGUACUGAAGCACAUGAUGCCAGCUUCCAAGAAAAGUUUCUAAGCGAUUAAUCCCAUAGCGGCCCGUACCAAAACCGACACAGGUGGGCAAGGAGAGAAUCCUGAGGUGAGCGAGAGAACUGUUGCCAAGGAACUCGGCAAAAUGACUCCGUAAGUUAGCGAUAAGGAGUGCUUAUGUAAAAGUAAGCCGCAGUGAAGAGGCCCAAGCGACUGUUUAACUAAAACACAGCUCUCUGCAAAGUCGCAAGACGAAGUAUAGGGGGUGACGCCUGCCCGGUGCUGGAAGGUUAAGAGGAUAUGUUAGCCGCAAGACGAAGCAUUGAAUUGAAGCCCCAGUGAACGGCGGCCGUAACUAUAACGGUCCUAAGGUAGCGAAAUUCCUUGUCAGGUAAGUUCUGACCCGCACGAAAGGCGUAAUGAUUUGGGCGCUGUCUCGGCAGCAGACUCGGUGAAAUCUUAGUACCUGUGAAGAUGCAGGUUACCCGCAACUAGACGGAAAGACCCCAUGGAGCUUUACUGUAGCCUGAUAUUGAGUUUUGAUCAAGUAUGUACAGGAUAGGUGGGAGACGAAGAAGUUGGGACGUCAGUUUCAAUGGAGUCGACGUUGGGAUACCACUCUUAGUUGAUUGAAAUUCUAACCUGUAUCCAUGAGCUGGGUAAGGGACAGUGUCAGGUGGGCAGUUUGACUGGGGCGGUCGCCUCCUAAAGAGUAACGGAGGCGCCCAAAGGUUCCCUCAGUGCGGACGGAAAUCGCACGAAGAGUGUAAAGGCAGAAGGGAGCUUGACUGCGAGACAAACAGGUCGAGCAGGGACGAAAGUCGGGCUUAGUGAUCCGGUGGUACCGAGUGGAAGGGCCAUCGCUCAACGGAUAAAAG